rnacentral:lncRNA from 1 species
CUCAUUUUCUCUUCCUGCGGUCAGGUGAGGAGAGUUCUUCGCCUCGCGCCAGGAUUCUGAGGCCUCCCCAGCCAUGUGGAACUAGUCUCGCUCUGUCAUCCAGGCUGGAGUGCAGUGGCACGAUCUUGGCUCACUGAAACCUCUGGCUCCCGGCUUCAAGCAAUUCUUCUGCCUCAGCCUCCCAAGUAGCUGGGAUUACAGACGGAGUGCCUCCCUGGUUCACACGGUUCUCCUGCCUCAGCCUUCCAAGUAGCUGGGAUUACAGGCACCUGCUACCACGCCUGGCUAUUUUUUGUAUUUUUAGUAGAGACAGGGUUUCACCAUGUUGGUCAGGCUGGUCUCAAACUCUUGACCUCAAGUGAUCUGCCCACCUCAGCUUCCCAAAGUGCUGGGAUUAUAGGCAUGAGCCACCAUGCCUGGCCCUCACUAGUUCUUUUAGAAUUCAGAAUUUAAUAUAAACAGUUAGGGAGACAGGUAUUGAAUGACUGAAAAGGCAAAAGUGGUCAUCGAGAUGACAGAGCAAUAUCCGGAGAGAGAGAGAGAGAUUCCUGUAGAAUACAAGACAAGACUAUCACAAUGAGCUGAAAUGUUGGGUCUGUGAAAGUAAUGAGAAGCACAGUGGAAAUAAGUUUCUGAAGGAUGGAAGAGGCUGGAGGCUGGCUAGUGGGAGAAGGUUCCCAGACACGUGAGAGACCCAGCAACAGAUUAAAAUCAUCCUUACCUGACAAGAGGACUCAGUGAAUCAAUGUUGUGCAGGAAGCAUGGCACCAGCGUCUGCUUUGGGUGAGGACCUCCAGCUGCUUCCACUCAUGGUGGAAGGCAAAGGAAAACUGGCUGUGCAGAGAUCAUAUGGUGAGAGAGGAAGCAGGAAAGGAGAGGUGCCAGGUGCUUUUUAACAUCCAGCUCUGGUGGGAGCUAAUAGAGCGAGAACUCACUCGCCAUCCCCCAUCCUAGGGAGUGCAUUAAUCUGUUUAUAAGGGAUUUGCCCCCCAUGACCCAAAAACCUCCCAUUAAGUCCCAUCUCCAAUACUGGGGAUCAAAUUUCAACAUAAGAUUUGGAGGGGUAAAUAAACCAAAUUAUAACAGUUUAUUUCUUGAUUUUGUUUUUGUCUUAUCCUUGUAAAAUAAGCUAGUAGCUUACAUUUAUAUUUUCCUGCCUACCAAUGAGUUUUCAUAUAUCUUCAUAAGUUUAUUGGCUUUUGGGGUUUUGCUCUUUGGUAAAAUUUUAAUGAAUAUUCACAAGUUGCUUUACUCAUUUGUGUCAGUUAGAGAAGAGUCUUGACUUUCCCCCCAAAUCUCAUAGUUACCUGUUUACUUUAUGAUAUGAUUGUCACUCAAAAUAAUCAAUUUUUACAUAGUUGCUCUGGUUUGAAUGUUUGUGUACCUCAAAAAUACAUAUUUUGAAAUCUAAAUCCCCAGUAUGUAGGUAUUAAGGGAUGGAAACUUUGGAAGGUGCCUAGAUCAUGAAGGUGGAGCCUUUGUGAACAGGAUCAGUACCCUUAUGAAAGAAGCCUGAGGGAGUUCAACUCACCCCUUUCUAUUAUGUAAGGAUGCAGCAGGAAGAUGUUGUCUAUGACGUCAGAGCCCUCACCAGACACUUAAUUUGAUGGCAACUUGAUCUUGGACUUCUCAGUCUCCAGAACUGUGAGCAAUAAAUUUCUGUUAUUUAUAAGUUAUCCAGUCUGAGGAAUUUUGGUAUAGCAGCCCAAAUGGACUAAGACAGUAGUAAAAUGUACCUAUGUUUUAUUUUAUAGCUUUGGAUUUUCUAUCCUGGAUUACAACAUUUUUCUGCCCUUGGCUUAUACAUAUUGUCUUCAGGAUAGUCUCUAAAUGUUUUAUUGCUUCAUUAUUUUACAUGUAAAUCUUUAGUCUACUUGGGAAAUAAUUUCAUAUAUUGUAGAAAAUCAUGUCCAAUAUAAUUAUUUUCCAUAUGAGUAGCGAGUGCCCCGACAUCAUAUAUUGAAAAGUGUAUUCUCUUACUUUGGGAGGCCGAAGCAGGCGGAUCCCUUGUGUCAGGAAUUUGAGACCAGCCUGACUAACAUGGUGAAACCCCAUCUCUAUUAAAAAAAAAUACAAAAAUUAGCUGGGUGUGGUGGUGGACACCUGUAAUCUCAGAUACUCAGGAGGCUGAGGCAGGAGAAUUGCUUGACCCUGGGAGGUGGAGGUUGCAGUGAGCAGAGAUCACACCACUGCACUCCGGCCUGGGCGACAGAGCGAGACUCCAUAGGCAACAACAACAACAACAAAAAGUGUAUUCUCUUCCAGCUGAACUGAAAUACCAAACAAAUGUUUAUAUGUAUCAGUAUAUAUUUGUGGAUUUUCUAUUCAGUUCUCUUAAUCUCACUGUCUCUUCUGGCUAAUGACCUAUUGGUUCAAUUACAAUAGUUUUAGAAUAGUUUGAAUCCUGGCAUGACGAAUGUCUUGCCAUUCUUUCUUUCUAUUUACUAAAUACUGUUUGGCUAUUAUCUAAAAGUUAUUUCUUUUUAUGAAAACUUUAAAUGCCACUUUAUGUAAUCAUAAAAAGCACUCUCUUGGGCUUUAACCAAAAUAUUCUUAUAUUUGUUAAUUUAGAAAGAUUUUAUAUUUUGUGAUCUCAAGUCUGCUAUCCAAAGAAAUGGCAUGCCUUUGGCUGGGAGUGGUGGCUCAUGCUGUAAUCCCAGCACUUUGGCUCACACCUGUAAUCCCAGCACUUUGGGAGGUCAACGUGGGUGGAUCAACUGACGUCAGGAGUUCAAGACCAGCCUGGCCAACCUGGUGAAACUUCGUCUCUUCUAAAAAUACAAAAAUUAGCUGGGUGUGGUGGUGGGUGCCUGUAAUCCCAGCUACUUGGGAGGCUGAGGCAGGAGAAUCACUUGAACCCGGGAGGCAGAGGUUGCAGUGAGCUGAGAUCGCGCCAUUGCAAUGGAGGCUGGGCAACAGAGCGAGACUCCAUCUCAAAAAACAAAACAAAACAAAAAGGCAUGCCUUUUCAUUUUCUAUAUCUUUAUCAUCAACAUCCUAUACCACUUCUAUAUAUUUUUUUAAGUUCUUUAUAAUUUAUUUUUUCUACUUUGAUGAAUAUUUUCUUCUCAUUUAUAUGUAAAGGUGGUUAUCCCUAACUUAUAAAUCCUAUUAUAAAUUCUAAUUUUUUCAGUCCUGGAAUUUUUGGGCAAAAAAUGUUAUUAUAAAAUGAUUUAAGCUCUUCUUUUGCAGUAUUAUGUACUUGAGUCUUUGCAUUUUUAGAACCUCCAAGUUAGUGUUAAAUUAUAAGGGUUAUUGAGGAUAUUCAUCUGACUUUUUAUUUUAUUUUGAGUGUUAAAUAUUGCCCAUUUAGGAUAAUAUUUUCUGUUACCUUUGGUCAUUUUAUUUUAUUUGUUUAACUCCUUCAUUUUUUACUUAAAAUGUAUUUAAAAGAAUAAUAAAUUUAAUCUAACAUCACUUCAGCAUUUGCACAUUUUAUUCUUCUUUAUUUUCUUAACAUGAUGUAUUAUGUAAAUAAAUUUCCUGAUAUUAACCACCCUGCUUUUCCUGGAAUAAGCCUUACUUGGUCAUAGUAUAUUAUUCUUCUAAUAACUGUGCAGGAUCAAUUUUCUAAUAUUCCAUUUGAACUGAGAUUGUACAGUAGUUUUCUGUUGCAUCUUUAUUAUGUUUUGGUACUAAACUGUACACAUAAAUGAAUUAGAUAAAUGCCCAUCUUAUUAUCUAUGACUAGUUUAUAACAUUAGAAUUAUCUAUUAUUUAAAGAUUGGAUAAACUCAGCUGGAAAUCCACCUAAUCCUAGUGCUUUUUGUUAUCCCUUCUAUGAUAAUUAGCCUAUUCAAAUUUUCCCUUCUUAUUGGGUCAAUUUUGGUAAUUGAUAUGUUGCUAGGAAAUCAUCUAUUUUGUUCAGGUUUUCAAAUUUAUUGCCAGAGAGUUACAUCCUGCAUUAAAUGUUAAUAGAAAAUAUAGAAAAAGUAUAAUUCUAUCCAUAAUGUUACUUAAUGUAAAUAGGUAAAAUUGAAUAUGUACAUGGUCAUGUAUUGGAUAAUAUAAAUGAAAAUAUUGAAUUUGAGGAUAUUAUUUUCCCCAUGGGUUUCUCCUAUUAUAAUAUGAUAUCAGCAAUAUUAUUUUAAAAACAAAGCAUUGUACAUUAGUAGUUGAUAGGGUUUGGUUCUGUGUCCCCACCCAAAUCUCAUGUCCAGUUGUAAUCCCCAAUGUUGGAGGAGGGCCCUGGUUGGCGGUGAUUGAAUCAUGGGGGCACACCGCUUCCCCCUUGCUGUUCUUGUGAUGGUGACCACAUUCUCAGGAGAUCUGGUUGUUUAAAAAUGUGUAGCACUUCCCCCUUUGCCCUCUCUCUUUCCUGCUCCACCAUGUGAAGAUAUGACUGCUUCCCCUUUGCCUUCUGCCAUGAUUGUAAGUCUCCUGAGGCCUCCCCAGUCAUGCUUCCUGUGCAGCC